CACCAGUUGUCACGCCAGUGGCACAGCUGGGUAGCUAUGUGCGGACGGGAUAAGCGCUGAAAGCAUCUAAGCGUGAAGCCCCCUUCAAGAUGAGACUUCCCAUAGCGCAAGCUAGUAAGACCCCUUAUAGACGAUGAGGUUGAUAGGUUCGGUGUGGAAGUGCAGUAAUGCAUGGAGCUGACGAAUACUAAUCGGUCGAGGACUUAUCCACA
rnacentral:rRNA from 1 species